CAUGGUUUCACUUUUUCAUCAAUGUGUUACUGCCAUGUUAAAGAGAGAAAAAGCCACGAAACCUUUUUCAACACCUCAGCUCUUUUUCUCUUCACUACAUGUAUAAGUGAGUAAUAUCAUUUAUUUUUCAUCACAUAUACCCAAACAAAAAAGAGAAAAGGAGGAUCAGCGACGGGAACAAAAAAGAGAGCAAGGAGGAGGACGAUCAAAGCUGAGGCAAGAGUUGCAUCCUACCCACCUAGCUAAUCCGUCAAGUUUUUUGCUAGAUGGAGACAGACUUGGCAGCUAAUGACCUUAGUUCAGAGGUGUCCGGAGGAGUUACUAAGGAAUACUCCGAGGAUCACUUUUGACUUGAUGACAAGCACUUUUUAUUUGAAUCUAUACGACCUUAUUCUUUAGUAAUACAUUUUUCUCUCUUUUGAUAAUGUUUUGAGGGAUAGAUUCUUUUAGUAUGUCGGUUCUAGUUUAGGGGACCAUGUGAGAGUCGGGACUGUUUUCAUGUCUUGUUAUGUAUAUACUCGAUGUAAAUACUCUAUAUUUUGGAUAUUGGCAUGUACUCUCAACUUAUAUAUUUGACCUAUCUUUUUAUGUCUUUAUUGUGA